rnacentral:lncRNA from 1 species
UUCCACCAUGUGGCUGCACUGGAGUCUCUGUGAAUCUGCUGUGAUUCUGGGGGCUGCCCAAUUCACAAAUCAUUCAUUGCUCAGUUAAACUCCUUUAAAUUUAAUUUGGCUGAAGUUUUUCUUUUAUCAGGUUGUGUCAGAAGUGGGAUUCGAGGUAGAGCCUCUAGCAACCCCCAGGAGUGCUGAGUGAAUAUGCAUGGUACCUGCAGGACCCACUUGUGUCCACUGAUCUCUUGGAGCAGCUGAGGAUUGUGGGACUAUGGUGCAGCCAGCUGGGUCAUUAGGGCCACUCAGGGAAAGAGAACCCAGAAGCCUGGUAUGCCGGCAAAAGGGUAAGAAUUUCUUACCAGUCAGACUUCUGAUCUCUCUCUCUCUCUCUGUGCAAACUCAUUGAAUGAAUGGUAAAAAUCACUGUUUAUCUCCUCUGUAAAUUUUGAUUAAUGGAAGAAAGGAUUUGUGAGGCUGGUCUUAAACUGUAGCAAAUCUGGUGUGCUUUGCGUGUCUUUCUGUGUUGUUCUGUCAUAAAGAGGGGUACCUUAGGAUAGAACACAGGCUUAGGACGCCCAUAAGCCCACUUUACAAGAUGGCUCAGCAAAUUGGUCAGUUAUGUCCUUGGGAGCUUGACCUUGUAAUUAUGUGGCCAUGCUUUCUCUUUUCAGAAUGGCGGCCCGGGUUCAGGGUUCAAUCCCUAGAUUAAGGGAUGAACCUUUCUGAUUAAUAUUUGGGUGACCUUUGCCAUUUUUAAAUUCUCUUCCCCUCCACCAACUGUCUUGAAUUUUCCCUUCUCAGAGCACCUAUGAGGUUACUUUUGGUAAAGUUUAAAAGCCAGAAAUAUCAGCCAUUUGGCCUGGCUAAAGUCAGGUAAUAAGAAAUUUUAGAAAGACUUUAUUAAAGAGUUCUAUGGUUAAAAGUCAGCUUAAUUAAAAGCAGAUAUUCAGGCUCUAACAGCCUGGAGCUCCUUGGGAAAAACAGGAGGCACCAGAGACCCUUUCCUGGCCCUGUUCCUCCGAGGACUCCGCCCUAAAGUGAAUAAUCCAAUUAAGAAACUUAAAAACUGGGAAAAAA